UGGGGAAUUUUGGACAAUGGGCGAAAGCCUGAUCCAGCCAUGCCGCGUGAGUGAAGAAGGCCUUCGGGUUGUAAAGCUCUUUUAGUCGGAAAGAAAGAGUCGCAAUGAAUAAUUGUGAUUUAUGACGGUACCGACAGAAAAAGCACCGGCUAACUACGUGCCAGCAGCCGCGGUAAUACGUAGGAUACGAGCGUUAAUCGGAAUUACUGGGCAUAAAGAAUGCGCAGGCGGUUUUGCAAGUCAGAUGUGAAAGCCCCGGGCUUAACCUGGGAAUUGCGUUUGAAACUACAAGGCUAGAGUGCAGCAGAGAGGAGUGGAAUUCCAUGUGUAGCAGUGAAAUGCGUAGAGAUGUGGAAGAACACCGAUGGCGAAAGCAGCUCCCUGGGUUGACACUGACGCUCA
rnacentral:rRNA from 1 species